AUUGCUAAUUCCAAAGGGGGUCGUCGUGUUUGGAUGCUUUUUGUGAUUGAUUGUUUCUCGACUCCAAAUCUCUUCACUUGCAAGGAUAUUACAAAAUGUGAAGGGAAUGUCUGGAUUUAUGAACCCAGCCUGCAUAAACUCAGAGAGAAGUUGCGGUUAUUAAUUGAUUCAUGUGAGCUAUCAGUUCCAUUCAAGGCUAAAGAGAAUCCUCAUUCCAAAAGGGCAUACCAAGAAGCUUAUGCAACAAAUCCCGCACUCUGUGCAUAUGUAUGGUUGUGGAGCUAUUACUGCAGCGCAAAGUAUUCGAGUGUCUAG